rnacentral:rRNA from 1 species
UACGUAGGGUGCAAGCGUUGUCCGGAAUUAUUGGGCGUAAAGAGCUCGUAGGCGGUUUGUUGCGUCGGCUGUGAAAUCCCGAGGCUCAACCUCGGGUCUGCAGUCGAUACGAGCAAACUAGAGUGUUGCAGGGGAGACUGGAAUUCCUGGUGUAGCGGUGAAAUGCGCAGAUAUCAGGAGGAACACCGGUGGCGAAGGCGGGUCUCUGGGCCGUAACUGACGCUGGAGGAGCGAAAGGCGUGGGGAGCGAACAGG